GGAGCUUGGGAACUUGAGGCGUGGUUCAUAUCCCAAAAUUUUGUUAAUUCUUAACAACACUAUGUGAUCAAUGUUAUAAAUAAAAUCAAUCUUAAAUUUAAAUGUAUUAUAAUUUAAUAAGAUAAUUUGGAUAAUUUAUAUUAACAUAUACACCAUGACAAUAAAAUAUCUGGCAGGUUCACACUGUAAAAAGUAGAGAUGGGACCGAUCCGAUACAAUAUUGACGGAAUUUAACAUAUCGGCUGUCAGGCCAGCGCAGCCGAUCGACUUACCGAACCAUGAUCCAGUCCGCAGCUUGAGCUGGAAGAUAAACUUGCUGUAAAGUAACACAAAACGCAGCACUGAUCCGGAUUCCAGUUCCACAGUUUACCCUGAACCCCCAGCAGCUUUAGUCUGCGGCUGACUGAGUAAAUUUAAGCUUUUUGUCCAGAAAAAGGUCAAGUUUCUGGAGAGUUUUCACUUUGAAAACGUCGAACAGCCGAACGGCUACAUGUAAUAUUUGUAAAUUCAGCGUCCGAGGGGUGAACAGAAUAACACCAGCAGUCUGUUAGCCUAGCUAGCACUGAACCAACAGCUGCAUUCUGGUGUAGUAAAGUGUGAGAAGAGUAGCAGUGGGCAGGUGCAGCAGCCCCUGCAGGGUUCCAGUUCUGCGACCCACAAGAAAACCAAAUCAGGCAGGUUCAAGAGAGAGGUCAGGGCUGCUCUCAGCACGCUCAGACACAAGCUGAGGUUGGAACAAAAACAGACUAUAGCCCCCAGUGAUGCAGUCAAACAGAGACCACACUACGAUUGCAGUGACUUACAGAAUUUCAGCUUAAAGGAGCUAAAAGCUUUGAAGACCACACUGAGUAAAGACAUUCACAACCUCAGCUCAGAAUUGGUGGGUCGUCUUCUGACAAGGGACCAGCUGAGGACUGAGCAGGAUGCCAUGUUACUGGAAAUACAGGACAUGAGGUCGCUGUGAUAUCACAGAGUGAGGAGGUCACUUUGUUCAAGGAACAAAAGGGAGGCUGCCACCAUAAAAACAUACAGACCUGGGAGAUCGGCCUGGAAGAAUGAGAUUGUACUGUGAAAAGCUUCACCACUCCAAAAAGACUGUUUAAAAUUGCACAGAUUUCCAUUUGUUUGAGUUGUUUUUUUUGUUGUUGUUUUGCUUAUGGUGUUUUUAAAGGGUGUUUUUAAGGCAUUGAUAAGCUGCUAAUGCUGCCUAAUGAGCAAACCUCUUUCCAACUGUCUUUGACAAAUCAUUAAUUUUAUUCUUUUUUAAUCCAGUUUAUUUACAUUUACAUCACACUUACAACAUUUUGGUGAUUUACUCUGUGGGUAAUUUGAUAGUCAAUAG
rnacentral:lncRNA from 1 species